rnacentral:rRNA from 1 species
CGCCGGACCUGACUGCUAUCGGAUUGAUACUAAGCCAUGCGAGUCAUUGUAGCAAUACAAGGCAUACGGCUCAGUAACGCGUAGUCAACCUAACCUAUGGACGGGAAUAACCUCGGGAAACUGAGAAUAAUGCCCGAUAGAACAUUAUGCCUGGAAUGGUUUAUGUUCCAAAUGAUUUAUCGCCGUAGGAUGGGACUGCGGCCUAUCAGUUUGUUGGUGAGGUAAUGGCCCACCAAGACUAUUACAGGUACGGGCUCUGAGAGGAGUAGCCCGGAGAUGGGUACUGAGACACGGACCCAGGCCCUAUGGGGCGCAGCAGGCGAGAAAACUUUGCAAUGUGCGAAAGCACGACAAGGUUAAUCCGAGUGGUUUCUGCUAAAGAAACCUUUUGUCAGUCCUAGAAACACUGAUGAAUAAGGGGUGGGCAAGUUCUGGUGUCAGCA